AACGGUAAAAGAUGAGCAUGCGUCCCAUUAGCUAGAUGGUAAGGUAACGGCUUACCAUGGCGACGAUGGGUAGGGGUCCUGAGAGGGAGAUCCCCCACACUGGUACUGAGACACGGACCAGACUCCUACGGGAGGCAGCAGUGAGGAAUAUUGGUCAAUGGGCGCAAGCCUGAACCAGCCAUGCCGCGUGCAGGAUGACGGUCCUAUGGAUUGUAAACUGCUUUUGUACAGGAAGAAACAGUUCUACGUGUAGAACCUUGACGGUACUGUAAGAAUAAGGAUCGGCUAACUCCGUGCCAGCAGCCGCGGUAAUACGGAGGAUCCAAGCGUUAUCCGGAAUCAUUGGGUUUAAAGGGUCCGUAGGCGGUUUUGCAAGCCAGUGGUGAAAGCCCAUCGCUCAACGGUGGAACGGCCAUUGAUACUGCAAGACUUGAAUUACUAGGAAGUAACUAGAAUAUGUAGUGUAGCGGUGAAAUGCUUAGAUAUUACAUGGAAUACCAAUUGCGAAGGCAGGUUACUACUAGUGGAUUGACGCUGAUGGACGAAAGCGUGGGGAGCGAACAGGAUUAGAU
rnacentral:rRNA from 1 species